rnacentral:rRNA from 1 species
UAGUCCUAGCCGUAAACGAUGUUCAUUAGGUGUGGGAGGUAUCGACCCCUUCUGCGCCGAAGCUAACGCAUUAAAUGAACCGCCUGGGGAGUACGGCCGCAAGGUUGAAACUCAAAGGAAUUGACGGGGGCCCGCACAAGCGGUGGAGUAUGUGGUUUAAUUCGACGCAACGCGAAGAACCUUACCUGGGCUUGAACCGUAGGUUGUAAAACCCUGAAAGGGGGAUGACCCGCAAGGGAGCCUAUAGAGGUGCUGCAUGGUUGUCGUCAGCUCGUGUCGUGAGAUGUUGGGUUAAGUCCCGCAACGAGCGCAACCCUUAUCCUUUGUUGCAACCCGUUAUUUUAAUAAUGGGGCACUCUAAGGAGACUGCCACGGAUAACGUGGAGGAAGGUGGGGACGACGUCAAAUCAUCAUGGCCCUUAUGUCCAGGGCUACACACGUACUACAAUGGCCAAUACAGGGGGAAGCAAGACGGUAACGUGGAGCAAAUCCCCAAAGUUGGCCUCAGUUCAGAUUGUGGGCUGCAACUCGCCCAC